CCUUUUGGGCAGCGGCGGCUAUUUUUGAGCGGGAUGCACGGAUGACAGAUCUACUUUUUCGAUAAAAACCGCGCCUUUUGGAGAAAUCCGAUACCGGGGCCAAGCGUUAAUCAUAACCUGAGAACGUCAUACCCACCCUCUCUACCCACAGGGAUACCAUUUUUUGGCACUUACAAUCACCAAUCAGUCCAAGAACUCUACUACUAUCUGACUAAACACGCCUUCAUCAUUUGUAUUUUUAUGAAAGUGACAACAUCACUUUUACUAAUCUUAUUUAUCAUUUUGCAAACAUUUAUUUUACACGACGAUAAGUUUAAGUAAAGUUAAAUACAUUUAAUUAAUAUAUAGUUGUUUAGGUAGUUAAAUCAGCAUCAAAAAAGAACAGAGGUAGUUUCGACUCCCUUCUCCAGACAAUGAUGUGGCUGAACGGAUGAAGAAGAAUGAAAAAGAAGCCUACCUUAUUUCUUAUUCCUCAAUUUGAUGGUGACUUGAGAAGAACGGAUGGUAUACGAUGAGAGGACAAGGAAAAUAAUGGGGUCGUAUUUACAAAAAUUGAUGGAAUUGUUUGUUUAUAUGUGCAUAUUUUGUGCUGGGAGAGUCCGAUGCGAACUCAGAAGAUGAAUACUCAUGAUCCUGACAGGAAAGAUUAAGUACGAGCAUGACCACUGGAAUGAAGAGUAUAUUGAUAUCUACCAGUUUCUGCAGUUUUUAAUGGGCAGCGAAGGGCUUUCGUAGCCCCACACUCCCGGCAGAAGCAAUUUUAUCCAUCCAGUCCAUUGUGGAGAGACGCCAACAGUUUUGCCUCCCUUUGUGACAAAAAAAAGUGUUGGGUUGGGUUGGGAAAAAAAUAUCAUGUGUAGAGACAAAAUAUCUUUGAGAAUAUAAAAUAUCAUGGGCAGAAAUGAAAUAUUAAGGGCAGAAGUAAAUUAUCAAAGAUAGAAGCGACGUAUUACUAGAAGAACGUUUGUUGGGUUGAGUUGGGUUGGGUUUAAAUCCUUAAAAGCCAAAUUGUACUACUUUUUUUUUGAUAUUAUCAACACAAUGUGCUUCACAUUCAAUGUGCAACACCUCUCUGGCUUUUUCUCAACCUCGGUUUGGGCUGGGUUUGCUUGGGUUCGUGGAAGAACCGAAGGAAGAAGAAAACCAGGUAGUGGAAAGUCGAAAGAACCAAGAUUGCGAAAAGCCAUGAGAAUAGCAACCAAUGAGAUAAGAAGACAGGAAGGACAACAACGCAUGAAAGGGGAUCUCUCUUCUCCUCGAUUGAAUUACCAGAGUCUAACAGAUGCCUAAGAUAAAGAGAAUAAGAAGUAGAUGCAAAAUAGUAAGAUAUCUUGGGGAGAAACAAAAUACCACGUGUAGAAAUGAUAAAUAUCAAGGGCAAAAGUAUUUGAUUGACGACAUAUUACAAUCAGAAGUAGAUGAUCAUAAACUGAUUCGGCCAGAAAUGAAAUGUCAUGUGCAGAAGCAAAAUACCUUCAUGGGAAGCAAAAUUUCUUGGACUGAAGCAGAACAUCAUAAGCAGAAAUAAAAUAUUAUACAGCUAAAGUCAUUUUACCAUGAUAUUACUGACUAUUUAGUAGUUUCAAACUGUUUUCAGAAUCAAAAUAUCUCGGGCAGAAAUAAAGCAACUGCUCAGAAUAAUUAAUAAAUUUGAUAAUUAAAUACUAUGUACUUAAUCAAACUUAUCUCCAAAUACAUAGAAUUGUUAAGAAUUUA
rnacentral:lncRNA from 1 species